CCUACGGGGCGCAGCAGUGAGGGAUAUUGGUCAAUGGGGGAAACCCUGAACCAGCAACGCCGCGUGAGGGAAGACGGUUUUCGGAUUGUAAACCUCUGUCCUCUGUGAAGAUAAUGACGGUAGCAGAGGAGGAAGCACCGGCUAACUCCGUGCCAGCAGCCGCGGUAAUACGGAGGGUGCGAGCGUUAAUCGGAAUCACUGGGCGUAAAGCGCGCGUAGGCGGCUUUUCAAGUCAGGGGUGAAAUCCCACGGCCCAACCGUGGAACUGCCUUUGAAACUGUAGAGCUUGAGUGUCGGAGAGGGUG
rnacentral:rRNA from 1 species